ACACGGUAAUAAUGAAUCAUUGUUAUGGCGCACAGCUCCGUCUCGCGGCCUUAAAGCUGCUCCACUAGUACUGCACAUUGCACACCAUCGUAGCGAAACGAAAUGAAAUGAACGAAUGAGUAAAUAAAGUCAGGUUAGUGGGCCGUGUCGCCUCUGAUGCUGCACCUUUAAACCAGCAGGAACCACGCUGCUGGCCGCCAUCCAUCCUGUCCCCCGGCGACCGCCCGCCCGCGCCCAGACACCGCCCGGCCUCGCAACGAACCCACCCACAGCCACCAAGGCCACGCGACACCGACCCACAAUAAAACGAUCACUUGACUCUAGAAAGAUCAGAUCACUUGAUCACCAUUAGAGGGUGCUUGCAUGUCACCCCCUAGCAAUAAGGAUGCUUCACCUUCAGCAACAACUUCAAUGAUUGUUAAGGCUGCUUUGUGAAAACUGAGAAAUGCAGCAUCCCAAGCCCAAGUGUCAUGACUCACUCUUACCUCAAUCUUUUUGACCAACUCUACUUCCCAUGGCUGGUGGACCAGGUUGGUGACAACAGAGGAAGAGGCGCCACCGACCCGCCCUGUGCGCCCACACCGAUGGAUGUAAUCAGCGACAUAACUUGGAAAGUCAAAGUUGAUCACAUGCGGCACCUGGAAGGAAAAUGGAAAUGAAGACCACGAGAGAUGAGAUCAGUGCAGGACAGCACCUUCACUUCACCAGCAGUGAAGGCCUUGUAGUGCUUUUCCCUGAGGAACGAGGACGUGGCACCAUUCAGGUUCAUGCAGCGCACACCAUUCUCAUUGAGGAGCAUGGAAAUC